rnacentral:rRNA from 1 species
AACGAACGCUGGCGGCAUGCCUAACACAUGCAAGUCGAACGAUACCUUCGGGCCUAGUGGCGCACGGGUGCGUAACGCGUGGGAACCUGCCCUUAGGUUCGGAAUAACUCCCCGAAAGGGGUGCUAAUACCGGAUAAUGUCUUCCGACCAAAGAUUUAUCGCCUUUGGAUGGGCCCGCGUUGGUUUAGCUAGUUGGUAGGGUAAAGGCCUACCAAGGCGACGAUCCAUAGCUGGUCUGAGAGGAUGAUCAGCCACACUGGGACUGAGACACGGCCCAGACUCCUACGGGAGGCAGCAGUGGGGAAUAUUGGACAAUGGGCGAAAGCCUGAUCCAGCAAUGCCGCGUGAGUGAUGAAGGCCUUAGGGUUGUAAAGCUCUUUUACCCGGGAUGAUAAUGACAGUACCGGGAGAAUAAGCUCCGGCUAACUCCGUG